rnacentral:rRNA from 1 species
GGCUCAGGAUGAACGCUAGCUACAGGCUUAACACAUGCAAGUCGAGGGGCAUCAGGAAGAAAGCUUGCUUUCUUUGCUGGCGACCGGCGCACGGGUGAGUAACACGUAUCCAACCUGCCCUUUACUCGGGGAUAGCCUUUCGAAAGAAAGAUUAAUACCCGAUAGCAUAAUGAUUCCGCAUGGUUUCAUUAUUAAAGGAUUCCGGUAAAGGAUGGGGAUGCGUUCCAUUAGGUUGUUGGUGAGGUAACGGCCCACCAAGCCUUCGAUGGAUAGGGGUUCUGAGAGGAAGGUCCCCCACAUUGGAACUGAGACACGGUCCAAACUCCUACGGGAGGCAGCAGUGAGGAAUAUUGGUCAAUGGGCGCUAGCCUGAACCAGCCAAGUAGCGUGAAGGAUGAAGGCUCUAUGGGUCGUAAACUUCUUUUAUAUAAGAAUAAAGUGCAGUAUGUAUACUGUUUUGUAUGUAUUAUAUGAAUAAGGAUCGGCUAACUCCGUGCCAGCAGCCGCGGUAAUACGGAGGAUCCGAGCGUUAUCCGGAUUUAUUGGGUUUAAAGGGAGCGUAGGUGGACUGGUAAGUCAGUUGUGAAAGUUUGCGGCUCAACCGUAAAAUUGCAGUUGAUACUGUCAGUCUUGAGUACAGUAGAGGUGGGCGGAAUUCGUGGUGUAGCGGUGAAAUGCUUAGAUAUCACGAAGAACUCCGAUUGCGAAGGCAGCUCACUGGACUGCAACUGACACUGAUGCUCGAAAGUGUGGGUAUCAAACAGGAUUAGAUACCCUGGUAGUCCACACAGUAAACGAUGAAUACUCGCUGUUUGCGAUAUACAGUAAGCGGCCAAGCGAAAGCAUUAAGUAUUCCACCUGGGGAGUACGCCGGCAACGGUGAAACUCAAAGGAAUUGACGGGGGCCCGCACAAGCGGAGGAACAUGUGGUUUAAUUCGAUGAUACGCGAGGAACCUUACCCGGGCUUAAAUUGCAGUGGAAUGAUGUGGAAACAUGUCAGUGAGCAAUCACCGCUGUGAAGGUGCUGCAUGGUUGUCGUCAGCUCGUGCCGUGAGGUGUCGGCUUAAGUGCCAUAACGAGCGCAACCCUUAUCUUUAGUUACUAACAGGUUAUGCUGAGGACUCUGGAGAGACUGCCGUCGUAAGAUGUGAGGAAGGUGGGGAUGACGUCAAAUCAGCACGGCCCUUACGUCCGGGGCUACACACGUGUUACAAUGGGGGGUACAGAAGGCAGCUAGCGGGUGACCGUAUGCUAAUCCCAAAAGCCUCUCUCAGUUCGGAUCGAAGUCUGCAACCCGACUUCGUGAAGCUGGAUUCGCUAGUAAUCGCGCAUCAGCCACGGCGCGGUGAAUACGUUCCCGGGCCUUGUACACACCGCCUGUCAAGCCAUGGGAGCCGGGGGUACCUGAAGUACGUAACCGCAAGGAUCGUCCUAGGGUAAAA